GUGAGGAAUAUUGGUCAAUGGGCGAGAGCCUGAACCAGCCAAGUCGCGUGAGGGACGAAUGGUCUAUGGCCUGUAAACCUCUUUUGUCAAGGAAGAAUAAAUCGCACGGGUGCGAUCUUGCCAGUACUUGACGAAUAAGCAUCGGCUAACUCCGUGCCAGCAGCCGCGGUAAUACGGGGGAUGCGAGCGUUAUCCGGAUUUAUUGGGUUUAAAGGGCGCGUAGGCGGGACGUCAAGUCAGCGGUAAAAGACUGCAGCUAAACUGUAGCACGCCGUUGAAACUGGCGCCCUCGAGACGAGACGAGGGAGGCGGAACAAGUGAAGUAGCGGUGAAAUGCAUAGAUAUCACUUGGAACCCCGAUGGCGAAGGCAGCUUCCCAGGCUCGUUCUGACGCUGAUGCGCGAGAGCGUGGGUAGCGAACAGGA
rnacentral:rRNA from 1 species